UACGUAGGGUGCAAGCGUUGUCCGGAAUUAUUGGGCGUAAAGAGCUUGUAGGCGGUUUGUCGCGUCUGCUGUGAAAUUUCGGGGCUCAACCCCGAACUUGCAGUGGGUACGGGCAGACUAGAGUGUGGUAGGGGAGACUGGAAUUCCUGGUGUAGCGGUGAAAUGCGUAGAGAUCAGCAGGAACACCCGUGGCGAAGGCGGCCCCCUGGGCCGUACCUGACGCUGAGGCGCGAAGGCUAGGGGAGCGAACGGGG
rnacentral:rRNA from 1 species